GGGCAGGUGGCUCAGGGGUAGAGCGCUUGCCUGGCACGCAUGAGGCCCUGGGUUCGAUUCCCCAGUCCCA
rnacentral:tRNA from 1 species